rnacentral:tRNA from 1 species
GGUUGUAGCUCAGUGGUAGAGUGCUUGCCUAGCAUGUGUGAGGCCCUGGGUUCAAUUCUCAGAACCA